rnacentral:rRNA from 1 species
AAUCAACGCUGGCGGCGUGCCUCGGACAUGCAAGUCGAACGCGAAAGUCCCCUUCGGGGGACAAGUAGAGUGGCGCACGGGUGAGUAACACGUAGGUAAUCUACCUUCGGGUGGGGAAUAACAACCGGAAACGGUUGCUAAUACCGCAUAAUGCAGCGGCACCUAAUGGUGACAGUUGUUAAAGCGGGGGAUCGCAAGACCUCGCGCCUGAAGAGGAGCCUGCGGCGGAUUAGCUAGUUGGCAGGGUAACGGCCUACCAAGGCAACGAUCCGUAGCCGGCCUGAGAGGGCGGUCGGCCACACUGACACUGACAUACGGGUCAGACUCCUACGGGAGGCAGCAGUCGGGAAUUUUGGGCAAUGGGCGAAAGCCUGACCCAGCAACGCCGCGUGAAGGAUGAAAUCCCUCGGGAUGUAAACUUCGCAAGAACGGGGAGAAUAAGCCGGUGUGAAUACCACCGGCGAUGACGGUACCGUUUGUAAGCUCCGGCUAACUCCGUGCCAGCAGCCGCGGUAAUACGGGGG